CAGUCGUACCUUCGGGUAAUCAGCCUUUCGGGUGCGAUUCUGUGGAGUUUGAGGAGCUUAACACCUUCAUGCUUUUGCAUAUUCGUGCUCUUGGGUGUACUUGCCCGUGUGGUUGGUUAACAUCAAUUUCGGGCACCAUAAAAUGGCUGGAGGAAUGUAGCUUCGAUCUUGUAUUGAAGUGUUAUAGCCUUCGGUAGAUGUGGUGAUCGAGAUUGAGGAUUGCAACGGAUACCUUUCGGGGCUACCUGUCUGAUCUCUGAUCGUUGCUCUGGUGCUUGAAAGCUUGCUUACGGUUAUCAAAGUCAAUGGUACAA
rnacentral:rRNA from 1 species